UCGGACCGCCCCUUCAGUUGACUCGUGAUCCGCCGACUUUGAUAUAUGGACGAAUCACAGUCACCUGAUGGUACGGUCUUU
rnacentral:pre_miRNA from 14 species